rnacentral:rRNA from 1 species
GGGCCAGUAGGUUGGUCGUGCCACCGGUACGUACUGGUCUCACUGAUUCCUCCUUCCUGAAGAACCGUAAUGCCAUUAAUUUGGUGUUGCGGGGAAACAGGACUGUUACUUUGAAAAAAUUAGAGUGUUUAAAGCAAGCUAACGCUUGAAUACAUUAGCAUGGAAUAAUGAAAUAGGACGAUCGAUCCUAUUUUGUUGGUUUCUAGGAUUGACGUA